CGUCAAAGCUUUAUUUCAAUAGCAAAUAAAUGUCUUAAACAAAUUAAAACCCUCUCCCAAUACUGGAUAAUUCCAUACACCUAUGGAAGCCCUAAUGUUAAAACUAGUAACAUGAAGUUAAACCUUCUCUUAAAUGUAAACAUAAGUCAGACCGGAUAAUACACUGACAAUUAACAGCUAAACCAAAGUGACAACCCAACUCAAGAAAACCCCACUCAAGUGUCUGUUAACCUAACACAAGAACAUUAAAAGAAAGACUAAAAGAAAAAGAAGGAACUCGGCAAAACUGAUUCCGCCUGUUUACCAAAAACACCGCCUCCUGACCAAACCUAUAAGAGGUCCAGCCUGCCCAGUGACUAUGUUUAACGGCCGCGGUAUCCUAACCGUGCGAAGGUAGCGUAAUCACCUGUUUUUUAAUUGAAGACCUGUAUGAAAGGCAUCACGAGAAUCACACUGUCUCCUUUCUCUAGUCAGUGAAACUAAUCUACCCGUGAAAAAGCGGGAGUGAGAACACAAGACGAGAAGACCCUUUGGAACUUAAGACAAGAUAAUAACUGCCCCCGAAAAAUAAACCCACACCUAACAGCAUCUUAUUAAUAAGUCUUCGGUUGGGGCAACCGCGGAGUAAAAAUAAACCUCCAAGCUGAACGGAAACCUCCUAAACAAAAACCACAACUUUAUGUAUCAACAAACUGACACCAUUAGACCCAACAUCUUGAUUAACGAACCAAGCUACCCUAGGGAUAACAGCGCAAUCCACUUCAAGAGUCCCUAUCGACAAGUGGGCUUACGACCUCG
rnacentral:rRNA from 1 species